GACGAACGCUGGCGGCGUGCCUAAUACAUGCAAGUAGAACGCUGAAGAGAGGAGCUUCCUCUUCUUGGAUGAGUUGCGAACGGGUGAGUAACGCGUAGGUAACCUGCCUUGUAGCGGGGGAUAACUAUUGGAAACGAUAGCUAAUACCGCAUAACAAUGGAUGACACAUGUCAUUUAUUUGAAAGGGGCAAUUGCUCCACUACAAGAUGGACCUGCGUUGUAUUAGCUAGUAGGUGAGGUAAUGGCUCACCUAGGCGACGAUACAUAGCCGACCUGAGAGGGUGAUCGGCCACACUGGGACUGAGACACGGCCCAGACUCCUACGGGAGGCAGCAGUAGGGAAUCUUCGGCAAUGGGGGCAACCCUGACCGAGCAACGCCGCGUGAGUGAAGAAGGUUUUCGGAUCGUAAAGCUCUGUUGUAAGUCAAGAACGGGUGUGAGAGUGGAAAGUUCACACUGUGACGGUAGCUUACCAGAAAGGGACGGCUAACUACGUG
rnacentral:rRNA from 1 species